rnacentral:rRNA from 1 species
UACGGAGGGUGCAAACGUUGCUCGGAAUUACUGGGCGUAAAGCGCGUGUAGGCGGCUAAGUAAGUCUGGCGUGAAAGCCCUGGGCUUAACCCAGGAAGUGCACCUGAUACUGCUUAGCUUGAGUACGGGAGAGGGUAGUGGAAUUCCCGGUGUAGAGGUGAAAUUCGUAGAUAUCGGGAGGAACAUCAGUGGCGAAGGCGGCUACCUGGACCGAUACUGACGCUGAGACGCGAAAGCGUGGGGAG